rnacentral:piRNA from 1 species
UGCCAGGGUACCCUGCUAAUUCAUGCUGC